rnacentral:rRNA from 1 species
UGGCGACCGGCGCACGGGUGAGUAUCGCGUUUGCAACCUACCCUUAACUGGGGGAUAGCCCAAAGAAAUUCGGAUUAAUACCCCAUUAAAUUUAAGAACGGCAUCGUUUUUUUAUUAAAGCUCUGGCGGUUAAGGAUGGGCAUGCGUGACAUUAGUUUGUUGGUGAGGUAACGGCUCACCAAGACUACGAUGUCUAGGGGGUCUGAGAGGAUGAUCCCCCACACUGGUACUGAGACACGGACCAGACUCCUACGGGAGGCAGCAGUGAGGAAUAUUGGGCAAUGGACGCAAGUCUGACCCAGCCAUGCCGCGUGCAGGAUGACGGCCCUAUGGGUUGUAAACUGCUUUUAUACAGGAAGAAAUCCUCCUACGUGUAGGAGGUUGACGGUACUGUAAGAAUAAGCAUCGGCUAACUCCGUGCCAGCAGCCGCGGUAAUACGGAGGAUGCAAGCGUUAUCCGGAUUUAUUGGGUUUAAAGGGUGCGCAGGCGGGGCAAUAAGUCAGUGGGAAAUCCUGCGGCUUAACCGUAGAACUGCCAUUGAUACUGUUGUCCUUGAGUAUAGUUGAGGUGGGCGGAACAUGUAAUGUAGCGGUGAAAUGCAUAGAUAUUACAUAGAACACCAAUUGCGAAGGCAGCUCACUAAGCUAUCACUGACGCUGAGGCACGAAAGCGUGGGGAGCGAACAGGAUUAGAUACCCUGGUAGUCCACGCCGUAAAC